ensembl:lncRNA
CUCCACGGUGUCGGUAGCCUUCUCCACGGUGUCGGUAGUCUUCUCCACGGUGUCAGUAGCCUUCUCCACGGUGUCGGUAUCUUCUCCACGGUGUCGGUAGCCUUCUCCACGGUGUCGGUAGCCUUCUCCACGGUGUCGGUAGUCUUCUCCACGGUGUCGGUAGUAUUGCGCUGUUAUUACACCGUUCCCCUGUCAGUGUGACGGUGGACUGUAGGCUAGUUAGACCACAGGCACCAUUGACUUGACGGAGCAGCGCUACUCUGUGGAUGUGAGUUGACUCUUGGGACGUUAUGGAGACUAGUCUACUGACUACCCUGUUA